GCCGGGGUAGCUCAGCCUGGUUAGAGUGCCAGACUCAUAAUCUGGAGGUCGUGGGUUCAAAACCCACCCCCGGCA
rnacentral:tRNA from 4 species